rnacentral:rRNA from 1 species
AUUGAACGCUGGCGGCAGGCCUAACACAUGCAAGUCGAACGAGUGGCGGACGGGUGAGUAAUUUCUGGGAAACUGCCUGAUGGAGGGGGAUAACUACUGGAAACGGUAGCUAAUACCGCAUACCAUCAGAUGUGCCCAGAUGGGAUUAGCUAGUUGGUGGGGUAACGGCUCACCAAGGCGACGCUCCCUAGCUGGUCUGAGAGGAUGACCGGCCAAACUGGAACUGAGACACGGCCCAGACUCCUACGGGAGGCAGCAGUGGGGAAUAUUGCGCAAUGGGCGCAAGCCUGAUGCAGCCAUGCCGCGUGUAUGAAGAAGGCUUUCGGGUUGUAAAGUACUUUCGGCGGGGAGGCGUUACCCAAAGAAGAAGCAACGGCUAACUCCGUGCCAGCAGCCGCGGUAAUAC